CAACUAACAAUUUAGCUUUCAUUAGGUUCGAUUUUUUCAAUUCGGCAAGUUAUAGCUAAUAAAAAGUUUAUUUAAAGUUUAAUUAUGCAGUUCAACCAUUUGGAAGUAAAAGAAGACCUCUUUAAAGCCUUUUUAUAGAGUUCUGAACAACACUUGUAUAUAUAAAUUACAAAUGGUCUUCUUAAGAACAACUUAAAGAUAUUUACAAAAAGACCUGUUUGUCUAAGCAUCAUUAAGACCUGUUUAAAGAGGUUUACCAAAUACAUAACCCAUUUUAUCAACGCCUUGUUAAUAAAGCUAUUUGCUGUUGUAAGUAAACGUUUGAUAGAAAUGUUUGCUUGUUUAAUUUGUGACAUUUCCAAUUUGUGAGUAAACAUAAAUGGUGUCCAAUUGAAUUUUACUUUAAUAUUUUUUUGUUAGUGAAUUAAAUCUCUUUUUAGCACUUUGUAUUGGUUUUGUUGUGGCUAUAAUGAAAUGAUAAAAUUGUAAUUAGAAAAAUAUUAAUCGCUUUCGCUGAUAUUUGCAGUCGGAUAUCUCCAUCACCAAACUCAAGUUAAGAAGAGGGUCGGAUAUUUAAUGAAUUACAUACAUAUGUAUACGAACAAUAACAGUGAUAUGAAAUAUAUUUUCAUUUAUUUGAAAAAUAAUUUUGCAAAGUAUUAGCUAUCUCAAUUUUGGAGAAUAUAGUAAGGGACAAAUUACAAAACCAAUAUAUUCACAAUUUUCCAGUUCUCUUUUACAUUGAGUUUGGUCUGGUGGAUGCGUGCUGGGCUGGUAUGCGGGAUACGUGGGUUCAAUUCCUACCUGGGCCUUGUAA